ACGGGACCGGGCCGGGCACCGCUACCGGCCCGGCCUGCACCAGGAACAGGACCAGACUCAGCGCCGCUCCGACCCACACCGGCACCGGUGCCACCCCGACCCUCAUCGCACCGGGACCUGGCCACAGAACCGGACCCGCACCCAGUCACGGAUCCGCACCCAAACCAAGACCCAGCACCCGGGUCCGACCGGACCUGGGCACGGACACGGACACUGACCCAGCCCCAGUACUGGCUCCGGACCUCACCCCAGCCCUGGACACGGCACCGGGACCGGCCCUGCCCGGGACCUGGACCCAGCACGCGAUGGAAGGCUCGGAUGUGGACCCAGACCGAGAGCCGAGACCUGGCACUGGGGUCCUGUUCAGCUCCUCCAGCAUCUCUGGAUCCCCAUGGAUCCCUCAGAAAUCUGUUGUGUCCAGUGAGGAUGGAUUCACAGGAGGGAGAAAACACUGCUCCAGCACAUUUGAGAGAACUGAGGCAUCUCAGACCUGGUGUUGAGAGCACAAAGCAUUUUCUUCCAGCCAAAUCCAGCUAGGGAAACAGAGUCCCUGGUUUCUCAUUAAGCACUCAGUCCUAUUAGGCAAGUCCUGAUUAGCUGGGCUUACCCUCUGUUCCCCCGCUCUGUGGUAUUGUUUAGCCUUGGAGCCAUGGGCACAGAGCUGCAGCCUGGGCCCUGCCUUUUACAGGAACACUGAAGGCACCAGAAAGGGAUUUGCAGCAAACCAAAUUUAAUUAAAGGGGGAAAAAAUA